rnacentral:lncRNA from 1 species
AUGCUAACUUUGAAGAUAUCACGGAACUCUUCAGCCAAUCCUUCAACUUAAUGAAGAAAUGAUGAGAGGCCUAGAAAUAGUUCCCAUCAAUUCCCUCGUCAAGCAAAAGAAAAGGUCUCAGCUGAUUAUUUCAAACAAGAGUGGCAAAGAGUUGAGAAUUGCACUGGCUCCUCCUCCACUACUCCUUUCUCUAUUGCCAAACUGGGGCUUUCAUUCAGAGGCAGCAAAUUGAGCUAAUUGCCUCCACUACAAGCUUUGUGUGAUCCUGUUCCUUAUAGUGAGAAGACAGAGAAAUCUCCCAGUGGAUGGAAUGAGGAGUGAUAUCAGCAUCAUGACAGAGUGAACUUGCCCAGGGUUCUCUCCCCUCCAACAUACAAUGAAAAGGGACAACCAUACUCCAACAGAGGACAUCCUAACACAACGCAAAAAUAACAAAGAGACAUGCAGCCAUACGAUGGAGGGCAAAGAGGCUGGAGCACCCCUCAGAGGAGCUGAACAGGAGUGAACUUUAGCUGGAAAAGAGAGGACUUUAUAAAGAACCUACUAACUCCUCUAAAAUGUGCCCAAAUAAGACUUGUAUG